rnacentral:rRNA from 1 species
UACGAGGGGGGCGAGCGUUGUUCGGAAUUAUUGGGCGUAAAGGGUGCGUAGGCGGUUUGGUAAGUCUCGCGUGAAAUCUCCGGGCUCAACUCGGAGCCUGCACGAGAAACUGCCGGGCUUGAAUGUGGGAGAGGUGAGUGGAAUUCCUGGUGUAGCGGUGAAAAUGCGUAGAUAUCAGGAGGAACACCUGUGGCGAAAGCGGCUCACUGGACCAUAACUGACGCUGAUGCACGAAAGCUAGGGGGAGCAAACAGG